rnacentral:lncRNA from 1 species
ACACACGCAGAUGAUCAGGCUGUAUGCAGUGUUCCACACAGCUCUACAUAUACACACACAGAUGAUCAGGCUGUAUGCAGUGUUGCACACAGCUCUACAUAUACACACACAGAUGAUCAGGCUGUAUGCAGUGUUACACACAACUCUACAUAUACACACACAGAUGAUCAGGCUGUAUGCAGUGUUCCACACAGCUCUACAUAUACACACACAGAUGAUCAGGCUGUAUGCAGUGUUGCACACAGCCUUCAGAACUGGAAGUGGAGUUCUCCUUCGGUGCCUUUAACCCAUAAGCACAUUAGUGUAGCUUUCUUAAGUUUGAUAGAAUUUCAAGUGGUUUAGCUGAAACAGUGAAUGUAUUAGGUUCAACAUGACCUUGUGUUGUUUAUUUUUGUUGCCAACAGGAUGCCUUUUUGGGAAGAUUUAGAAGUGUCAUUCUGAACGGUCACCCUUUUUAGGAUUCUGGAGCAGUU